CACGGGGGGAGCGAACGUUGUUCGGAAUCACUGGGCGUAAAGGGCGUGUAGGCGGUUCGGUAAGUGGGAUGUGAAAUCCCCCGGCUUACCCGGGGAACUGCAUCCCAUACUGCUGGACUUGAGUGCGGGAGAGGAUGGUGGAAUUCCUGGUGUAGCGGUGAAAUGCGUAGAUAUCAGGAGGAACACCUGUGGCGAAGGCGUCCAUCUGGCCCGUUACUGACGCUGAUGCGCGAAAGCUAGGGGAGCAAACGGG
rnacentral:rRNA from 1 species